rnacentral:lncRNA from 1 species
UCACCAUAAAGAGAAAAAGAACCCUUCUUCUCCUCUUCUUCUCUCUCUUUUCACUUCUUAGAUCUGAUCUCUAUCAGAUCUGGGUGUAGACAUGAAGGAAGAAAGGAGGAGGAGGUGUUGGAAGGAAGUUGUGAUGUCCUAAAGAAGUCGGCACUUCUUUCUCAUGCAAAACAUCACACCACACUUUAAUUUUGUCGCACAAAAACCUUCUUAUCCCAUGCACAAUCUCUUCCUCAUGCCCAAGAGAUCUAAUCUCUUUAAAUCUAAGACGUUCAAAUCCAAAUCCAGG